rnacentral:rRNA from 1 species
GUGUCAGCCGCCGCGGUAAUACGGAGGGUGCAAGCGUUAUCCGGAUUCACUGGGUUUAAAGGGUGCGUAGGUGGGUAGGUAAGUCAGUGGUGAAAUCCCCGAGCUUAACUUGGGAACUGCCGUUGAUACUAUCUAUCUUGAAUAUCGAGUAGGUAAGCGGAAUAUGUCAUGUAGCGGUGAAAUGCUUAGAUAUGACAUAGAACACCAAUUGCGAAGGCAGCUUACUUCAAGAUUAUUGACACUGAGGCACGAAAGCGUGGGGAUCAAACAGGAUUAGAAACCCUUGUAGUCC